UUCAAACACAACUUGACAUGGAAAGAGAGUGAGCAGUACUGCACUGACAUGAAGGCUACUCUCCUGAAGACUGACAACCAGAACAUUCUGUGGAUAGAAGUCAAGGGCUCCAAUGUCUCCCAAGACGAAAGAAUCCCAAGUCUCAUUUGGAGGAAUGCUAUCACUAACUAGGAUUCCUGGAGCUAAAACAUUAUGAGCAUGCUGUCUUGUGAUGGUGAUUUCAUGUGUUUUCUGCAUGGGAUUAUUAACAGCAUCCAUUUUCUUGGGCGUCAAGUUGUUGCAGGUGUCCACCAUUGCGAUGCAGCAGCAAGAAAAACUCAUCCAACAAGAGAGGGCACUGCUAAACUUUACAGAAUGGAAGAGAAGCUGUGCCCUUCAGAUGAAAUAUUGCCAAGCCUUCAUGCAAAACUCAUUAAGUUCAGCCCAUAACAGCAGUCCUUGUCCAAACAAUUGGAUUCAGAACAGAGAAAGUUGUUACUAUGUCUCUGAAAUUUGGAGCAUUUGGCACACCAGUCAAGAGAAUUGUUUAAAGGAAGGUUCCACGCUGCUACAAAUAGAGAGCAAAGAAGAAAUGGAUUUUAUCACUGGCAGCUUGAGGAAGAUUAAAGGAAGCUAUGAUUACUGGGUGGGGUUGUCUCAGGAUGGACACAGCGGACGCUGGCUUUGGCAAGAUGGCUCCUCUCCUUCUCCUGGCCUGUUGCCAGCAGAGAGAUCCCAGUCAGCUAACCAAGUCUGUGGAUACGUGAAAAGCAAUUCCCUUCUUUCGUCUAACUGCAGCACGUGGAAGUAUUUUAUCUGUGAGAAGUAUGCGUUGAGAUCCUCUGUCUGAAAGAAAUUGUGUUCAAAGUGUUCUAUUACACUGUUAUUUGGAGCAUGCCAUUGGAAAACCCACCCCCACCCCCCCUCAAAAAAACAGAACAGUAAACCAAAAUGUGGGCCAUGAAAUUAGCAACCUGGGACUCAAUAAUACACUUGGGAAUAUUCUUCCACACCGUCCAGAUUUCAUUUGAUGUUGUUCACAUUGCAAGAGUAAAACUUAUUUAGAGCUACAGAAGACAAAACCCUGAAGAGUUAAGAACAAACGCAAGGAAAUAAUUUUUAUUGUUUAAAGCCCGGAAUGACUGUAACUUUCACACAAGGUACGCAUCUAUGUUUUUGGGGGAGGUGAUGUAGUUACAGCUGACUAAUAUUUUUAAAAUAAAUAAAUAAAUUUGGCCUUUAAAACUC
rnacentral:lncRNA from 1 species